AGGGAUUGGGAAAAUGAUGGGGGUUGUUGUUAACAACAGGGUGCUGAAUGGGCAUGUCUUGAACGAGGUCGUCAUCCUCAAAUGGGGAGAAGGAGGGGAUUUUGGAGGAUGUGGUGGAAGGGGGACGAAAGGGGUUGAGGUUGUUUUUGAUAGGUUGAUUAGGUGUGGUAAAGGGUAAGGGAUUCUCGGACACUUGACUACGUUGUUGGGUGACUGCUCUGGUUUCGAAAGUGACAAACAGAUUCAUUCCCCGGUGAGCUUCCAAGUGAAGAAAGAACUAGC
rnacentral:lncRNA from 1 species